rnacentral:lncRNA from 1 species
UGGUAAAGUGAAGAAAAAAUCCAUAAAAAAUAAAAAUUAGGAUAAAUAAAAGAAACUGAGGCAAGUUAUUUUACAUCAUUUUAUUAUGUUUUGAGUUAUUUGCAGUGAUAAUUUGUGCAGCUUAGGUAGUUUUAGGCUGAAAAUUCUUGUACCCUCUAAUAAUUUCCCCUCAGAGAUUUUUUUUCACCCUUUUGGAAGUUUGAGGAUUAUAUAUCUUCAAACUACUAAAACAAACCUAUCUAUUCAAUUAGAAACUUAGGAUAGACUGAGGAUAGAGACACUACACACCAGGUAGAAUCCUAUCUCUAAUGUCCUUAAUAGUGACUGCAAGUAGCCCUUUAUUUAUCAAUAAUCACAUGCUAUCAACAAACAAAUGAGUAUAGAUAGAGAUAGAAAAGCAAAAAAAAAAAAAGGCAUUCCGGGUUGUCGAGCCUAACCACCCCUCUUUUUUCUCUUCUUUUUCUGCAGCAUCUAAGCUUUGUUGUAAUGUUUCAAAUUUGAAAUCACAUUUCAUAAAAAAAUUGAGAUCACAUAAAUGUCUUAAUGCCUGAUGAUCGAUGCGGUAAUGAAUAAAUUUGUGUUUGAAUGAAAUUAUUGAUGAAUAAUAUUAAUGAUUAAAUGAUAUUAAUGAGUUUUAUAAAAUAGUAAGCACAUUUACUCUGGCAAUUUGAAAAAAGGAAAAAAAAACAAAAACAGCUGUUUCGGUCAGUUUUGGCUAAAACUGACCAGAACCAACCGAAACCGACCGAAACUGACAGAAACUUGAAACUCUCUUGUAACACAAGCCUUCUAUUCCGUAAAACUGGUCUUACUUUUGUGAACAAUUGGAGAGAUUUUGCUUCAUGUAGAUAGACAUCAAUAAGAAGGUAAGGAAGAGCAUCACAUGUUUUGAAACUGGUUUUGAAUGUUUUGUUUUAGCUCCACCCUAAAGAAGUUUCACUUUCUAAACCUUCUAAAAGUAUGUGCAACAACUCAUUGGGAAUAUUGAAUAAGUUAUCAUCAGCUGAAAUCUUACGAACUUCAGUACUAAGCCUUAACUAAGAGGCUUUACCUGUCUCUCUGGGUCUGGUUUUAUGAUCCUCAUGUAUUGGGUUGUGCUCUGAUCACCAUUAAUGUUUGUGUUCUUUUUUUAGUUUUGUAACUUUUGGGUGAAUUUCAGAUUUCAUUAACUGGAAAAGAGACCUGGAGUCGUCAUCUCUGUUGUAUCUACCCUUGACAUACCUUAGAGGACUUGCAUCCUAAAUUUACCAGAUAAAUUUAGGGAAGGAUGUCUGCUAAACCAUGGAUACUUACAAAUCACAUCCCUUUCACUGUUUUCGCUCCCCUCUAACCAAAAAAAAAAAAACACAAGAACUGCUAAGGGACAAGGGAAAACAGUGCUGCUUUUCCCAGGUCGAUGUUUGGAAUUAUAUCAAUCUAUAGAAAGGAAAGUCACAAAUUAUUGUGCUUGGUUUUUCAAUACUGAAGAUAAAAGGAAGCAUUUUAUGGACAUCUGAACCUGGAAUAUUUAUUCUCCUUUUUUGUUUAACUUCUUGGUUUUCAUAUAUGAUGUUGAUCUAUUAACUCCCUGCUUAUUUCAGGUCCAAGCUCUUGUUGGUUUCGAAAAGACCAUCAAGCAUCUUGAUGAACAUUUAGUGGAAAUUGGCACAAAGGUUUGCAAAUAACCAUGAUCUUGGUCAGCCAUAUGAACUUGUCAAUUUUCCUCCACUUUUUAAAUGAUUUGGUCAAAAUUUGCAGGGAAUCACUAAACCUAAAGAGGUGAGGAAGUUCAAAGGGGAAGGCAUGCCUUUGCACCUAAGUACAAAGAAAGGAGAUUUGUAUGUGACGUAUGAAGUUUUGUUCCCCAAGUCACUAACCGAAGAUCAGAAGACUAGGAUCAAGGCAAUUCUUUCUUAAAGCUGGCGUUCUCUCCAUUGGUACUACUUGGUUCUCCUUUGUACUUUGACUAGGUUUAAUUGGAAGGUGUACAGCCCCUGGAAUUUUCCCAAGUGGCUCCUAUUUGAAUGAUGUCAUUGACUGUAAUCCUUGUUGGCUGCCUGUUUCCAUAGGAUGCUGUCACCUCUUCUCUUUUUUUCCCCCUUUCUUUUUUUUUAAAAUUUUUUUGGGCAAUAGAUGUACUUUAGAAAAGGAAACUGAUUAAUUGGAAUUUGAUCCUGAUCUUUCUCUCCCUUAUCUCAACUAGGGCGAAAGAAAAACAUAUAUUAUAGAAUCAUGCUUGGUUAUGUAAUUCCAUUUCCACGAGACAAUUUAUGUGGACACUGCUCUCAAAAUGUAUCCAAAAUGAUGAAUUAAGAUUUUCCUUGUUAUAUUUUGUUCAUUGUUAUAUUCAUUGUUUGGCUGGUUGAUAAUCUUGUUCUUCCCAUUUAUUCUCUUUUUAUUUCUCUUUGUUGGUCUAAAAAUCCUAUUAGUUAAUGUAGAACAUGCCGUGUCAUCCUUUGUAGUAUGACAUUGAUGGUUUUGCUACAUUAUGAUCUUAUUAUGUCUCCUUUGAGAUGUGGAUAUGUAAGUAGAUUUAGGCUCAAUGCUGAAAGAUCUUAUUGAACUCCUGUUAGCGAUCAGCAUCCAGGUGACAAACCAGUCCCCAAAUCAUGAAAUCAUCUUGAAAAAGGGAUGAGUUAUCUUUGAAGACCACUGAUUUGUUGUUCGCUGGCAGCUCUAAUCUCUAUUGAAUGGUGCCAUAUUGAUAUAUUUUUUGAGAUAGAACCUGAGAUAGAAUCCUGAUCUCCUAGCAUUCAAAGCACUCAAGGGCAAGGGUGCUGAUAUGCGAAGAUGCUUUGGUACAUAUUUUGUAAUCUAUCCACCAGCCGGCUGCUGAUGCCCAACUCGUUCUUGCCAGGGGGAUGGACAAAUUAUCCAACAUUUAACCUGCAUAGCCUGUGUACUGCUGAUUGCUUAUUUAACCCUCUUGCCUGCAUUGCAAGACCAUAUUUAUUAGAGUUGUUUGUAUUAUUUGUUUCUGUUUUUUUUUCCUUUUCCUUCUUAUAGCUGUUUAGGUAAAAUCAAAUAAAUAUAAAGNNNNNNNNNNNNNNNNNNNNUUAUUGUCAUGCAGUAAUUUUAAUGAGGGAUCAGUGCUAUGAGCCCGCAUAUUCCUGCGAAAUCAAAAGAACAUGGCGUUGCAUAGUUUAGCAUGUCAUUAACUGGCAGAUAGAUUAACAGAAAACCUACAGUAAUGAGUUUUUUGAUGCUUCUUUUUUUCUUAUGUAGUUUUUCUUUUUUAGUGGGAAAGAAGGGGCACUGCUGGUAUUUCCUUGUUGAUGCCAAACUUAUUUUUAUUGAUCAUACAGUGAUUGCAGUGUAGUUGCUUUAGUAUUGGAGACAUAGAUGCCUAUAGCCUACAAUGCCUGCAAUAUUGACCUUAUAAAUUAUCAAUAUAAUCUACAUGGUGAAGUUUGACUUCCAGGGAUUUUCUGAUGCUUGCCUAUUCUAUUUUCUCUCUUGGUUUGCCUUGAGGCAUGAGCUUCAUAAAAUUUUUACCUCUGAAGUUUUUGUUUUCUGCCACUUAUAAAGAAAUACUACACUUUCCAGAUUCUUUGGGCUUCAUAUCUGUUUGUAACCAGGAUUUUAAAACUCGGUUUGGUCUCCAAGUUGAGCUUUGGUUUCGGUAGUUUCACUCUAAGUUUCAAAGCUUUGGUAAAGUGAAGAAAAAAUCCAUAAAAAAUAAAAAUUAGGAUAAAUAAAAGAAACUGAGGCAAGUUAUUUUACAUCAUUUUAUUAUGUUUUGAGUUAUUUGCAGUGAUAAUUUGUGCAGCUUAGGUAGUUUUAGGCUGAAAAUUCUUGUACCCUCUAAUAAUUUCCCCUCAGAGAUUUUUUUUCACCCUUUUGGAAGUUUGAGGAUUAUAUAUCUUCAAACUACUAAAACAAACCUAUCUAUUCAAUUAGAAACUUAGGAUAGACUGAGGAUAGAGACACUACACACCAGGUAGAAUCCUAUCUCUAAUGUCCUUAAUAGUGACUGCAAGUAGCCCUUUAUUUAUCAAUAAUCACAUGCUAUCAACAAACAAAUGAGUAUAGAUAGAGAUAGAAAAGCAAAAAAAAAAAAAGGCAUUCCGGGUUGUCGAGCCUAACCACCCCUCUUUUUUCUCUUCUUUUUCUGCAGCAUCUAAGCUUUGUUGUAAUGUUUCAAAUUUGAAAUCACAUUUCAUAAAAAAAUUGAGAUCACAUAAAUGUCUUAAUGCCUGAUGAUCGAUGCGGUAAUGAAUAAAUUUGUGUUUGAAUGAAAUUAUUGAUGAAUAAUAUUAAUGAUUAAAUGAUAUUAAUGAGUUUUAUAAAAUAGUAAGCACAUUUACUCUGGCAAUUUGAAAAAAGGAAAAAAAAACAAAAACAGCUGUUUCGGUCAGUUUUGGCUAAAACUGACCAGAACCAACCGAAACCGACCGAAACUGACAGAAACUUGAAACUCUCUUGUAACACAAGCCUUCUAUUCCGUAAAACUGGUCUUACUUUUGUGAACAAUUGGAGAGAUUUUGCUUCAUGUAGAUAGACAUCAAUAAGAAGGUAAGGAAGAGCAUCACAUGUUUUGAAACUGGUUUUGAAUGUUUUGUUUUAGCUCCACCCUAAAGAAGUUUCACUUUCUAAACCUUCUAAAAGUAUGUGCAACAACUCAUUGGGAAUAUUGAAUAAGUUAUCAUCAGCUGAAAUCUUACGAACUUCAGUACUAAGCCUUAACUAAGAGGCUUUACCUGUCUCUCUGGGUCUGGUUUUAUGAUCCUCAUGUAUUGGGUUGUGCUCUGAUCACCAUUAAUGUUUGUGUUCUUUUUUUAGUUUUGUAACUUUUGGGUGAAUUUCAGAUUUCAUUAACUGGAAAAGAGACCUGGAGUCGUCAUCUCUGUUGUAUCUACCCUUGACAUAC